rnacentral:rRNA from 1 species
GACGAACGCUGGCGGCGUGCUUAACACAUGCAAGUCGAACGGAAAGGCCCUGCUUUUGUGGGGUGCUCGAGUGGCGAACGGGUGAGUAACACGUGAGUAACCUGCCCUUGACUUUGGGAUAACUUCAGGAAACUGGGGCUAAUACCGGAUAGGAGCUCCUGCUGCAUGGUGGGGGUUGGAAAGUUUCGGCGGUUGGGGAUGGACUCGCGGCUUAUCAGCUUGUUGGUGGGGUAGUGGCUUACCAAGGCUUUGACGGGUAGCCGGCCUGAGAGGGUGACCGGCCACAUGGGGACUGAGAGACGGCCCAGACUCCUACGGGGGGCAGCAGGGGGGAAUAUUGCACAAUGGGCGGAAGCUGGAUGCAGCAACGCCGCGGGGGGGAGGACGGCCUUCGGUUUGUAAACCGCUUUCGCCUGGGACGAAGGGUGAGUGACGGUAAUGGGUAAAGAAGCACGGGCUAACUACGUG